UCAUCUGCUGGAAGACGCUUGGGGAUGGGGCAGGAAAUUGGGACGUAGACUGUGGAACCCACCCGAGGGAUCUGGAGCUCCUGCUGAGUCUGGGCCCCACAGAUGCUUCCUAAUGAUCCCUCUAAUGAGGCGGGCCAGGACUUGGAGGUCUGGAUGUCUUCUGCCCAGCAAAUGAGGCAAUAUUUGAAAACAUGGCAAAACAGUGGGAGUUGAGGAGCCUGACCCAGAUGAUUGGCUGAAUGAAAUCCAGGCCAGAGCUAGCUCCUCACCAACUAAACACAGGAGCUCCUAAGCCUGUUUGGACUUCUUACUCUCGGGAGGUUUCUGCAACCCGGAUCUGCAGGUCUCCAGUUUUCUUCCUUUAGGGCGAAGAGGUCAACACAGUUGGUCGUCCACAUCUAUUGGUUCUAUGUCUGUGGUUUCAUCCAAAGUGCGAGUAGAAUCGUUCAGAAGAAGUUUGUCUCCCCUGAACAUGGACAGACUCUUCCUGCCAUCACAUCCCAGACGACAGUUCUACUCAUGGGAUUGCCUGAGCCUUUAAGCCACAGAGCAGCAGAUGUGGCUGGUAGGAUGGACGCAAUCAGCAGAGCUUCUGCUGCCCCUCAGAGGAGAGGGUCCCACGUCCCUUCCGUACAGUGGUGACGGUUCCUCGUCCCUUCCCGACAGCCUGUAGAGGCCUGAGCCCAGUUGUCUCUGAAGCCUGUUCCUAGGAUUCCCUGGCCUCGUCGUUGGCUCUGGAACUCACCUGAUGCUGUAGA